GGGUGUAAGUGAGUCGAGCUAGCUCGCGAGUUACUCGGGAUCGGCUCAAAAAUUACUCGAAAUCGACUCGAUAUUAGUCGAGUCGAGCUCGAGCUCGAGCUACUCGAUUAGGUAUCGAGCCCGAGUUCGAGUUUCUUGAUACUCGACUCGUUAGGCUCGCGAGCCUAAUCGAGCUCAAAUAAUUAUAUAUAUAAUAUAUUAUAUGUAAGCCCAAAAUUAAAUAUAUUUUUGAGCCCACAAAUUGGCCCAACUCCUAAGCCCAUUAGAACCCUACCCAACUUGUGAAUUUGAAUUACACACAUGACAAACCCUAAUAGCCUAACUCCCUCCCUAACUCAGCACGCAACAGCCACCCCAAUCUAUCAUCUCUCUCUCGGUUGCCGGCGACCGGCGACACGCACUCCGGCGCGACGGCACACUCCGACACGACGGCGACUCAUCUUUCCAGCGAAGAUCCGACGAUCUUAACAGCAGCAGGAGUGCAGCACGGUCCGGCGCGACAUUAGCAUCAUCUGCCACCACCGUUCAUCGGGCACCGACUGCUUCCCAGCUCGGCGCGACAACAGCAGCGACACCAACGACUCUCCCCUCCUCGGCGCGACAGCAGCAGUGCGGCACGAUCUGCCAUUUAAGUCUGUAAUCUGUUGAUGUGAUCAAGUAUACUACUGACAAAGAGUAUGAGAAGCAUUUGACUGAUCAUGUAAGUAAUGUGGAGUUCGAUUUUCAAAGUUAGUCUUGCUUUUAUCAUACAUAUCUAAUUAAUAACUUGAUUUUUUAUUUAGACUCUAUGUUGAUCACCUUAGGUUUGGGAUUAGACUCUAAUUUGAGUAUAUCUAGCUUGUCUUAAAAUCAUACGACAAUGAUUCUUAGUUGGAUUUGGAUUUUUUAGUCCAUAAGUUUCUUAGAUUUAUCUGCUGGUGGUUAUAUACACUUAUCCAUUUAAAAAGUAGUUAUUUGCUUUGUUUUUGUUUCAUGUAUCUGGAAGGGGUCUUCUUCAUAUGUCUUGUUAUUUGUUAAUUGAUGUUCUUUAUAUUUUUUUUUUGUAUGCAGCCCUUAACACGGUGUUCGACUGUUGGUAUUGGAGAGACGACUUCAUGUUGUAGGCUUGUGGCACUAUCUAUAAGAAGACGCUGCAAAUUUAUGUUUUUAUGUUGUAUUUCGUAUUUUCAUUCAAGACUUGUUACUUUUUUAUGUUAUAUUUCAUAUUUUCAUUCUAGACUUCUUAUAUGCAGCCUUUUUCAUGCUUUCGUAAUGGAAUGAUUUGUAAUGUUA